rnacentral:rRNA from 1 species
GAUGAACGCUAGCUACAGGCUUAACACAUGCAGGUCGAGGGGCAGCGGUAUCGAAAGCUUGCUUUCGGUAGCCGGCGACCGGCGCACGGGUGAGUAACGCGUAUCGAACCUGCCUCAUACUCGGGAAUAGCCUUGCGAAAGUAAGAUUAAUGCCCGGUGUUUUCAGAGUCCCGCAUGAGGCUUUGAACAAAGAUUUAUCGGUAUGAGAUGGCGAUGCGUCCCAUUAGCUUGUUGGCGGGGUAACGGCCCACCAAGGCAUCGAUGGGUAGGGGUUCUGAGAGGAAGGUCCCCCACAUUGGAACUGAGACACGGUCCAAACUCCUACGGGAGGCAGCAGUGAGGAAUAUUGGUCAAUGGGCGGAAGCCCGAACCAGCCAAGUAGCGUGCAGGAAGACGGCCCUCCGGGUUGUAAACUGCUUUUAGUUGGGAAUAAAACGGGGCUCGUGAGCCCCCUUGCAUGUACCAUCAGAAAAAGGACCGGCUAAUUCCGCG